rnacentral:rRNA from 1 species
AUUGAACGCUGGCGGCAUGCUUUACACAUGCAAGUCGAACGGUAGAGGGGGCAACCCCUUGAGAGCGGCGAACGGGUGAGUAAUGCAUCGGAACGUGCCAGUCGUGGGGGAUAACGCAGCGAAAGCUGUGCUAAUACCGCAUACGAUCUCUGGAUGAAAGCGGGGGACCGAAAGGCCUCGCGCGAUUGGAGCGGCCGGUGUCAGAUUAGGUAGUUGGUGGGGUAAAGGCUCACCAAGCCAACGAUCUGUAGCUGGUCUGAGAGGACGACCAGCCACACUGGGACUGAGACACGGCCCAGACUCCUACGGGAGGCAGCAGUGGGGAAUUUUGGACAAUGGGCGCAAGCCUGAUCCAGCAAUGCCGCGUGCAGGAAGAAGGCCUUCGGGUUGUAAACUGCUUUUGUACGGAACGAAAAGGUCUGGGUUAAUACCCUGGGCACAUGACGGUACCGUAAGAAUAAGCACCGGCUAACUACGUGCCAGCAGCCGCCGCAG